AUCCAGUUGACGAGUCUCAAACAGGAUGAAACGCGUGUCCUGGAU
rnacentral:hammerhead_ribozyme from 1 species